CAGAAAUAUCCACCCUCAAGCACUUCUAGGAGCAUUGUAAUCUGGUUCUUCUUCCGACUUCAUUCCUGAACUCCUGACGUCACUUCUGAACUCUGGUUAUAACUGCUGGGCAGCCCAACACUGCCUCAAAGAGGUCUGUAUUUUGUAUCUGUGCUGUCUGCCUAAGCACACAUUACCAUGGAAACACCUCCAGUUCCACAGUAACCUACUCGUACACGCCUAGACUUAUGGAUAUUAUGGCUGUGGUAUACUUCAAAAUACUGUUACAGUAAGCAUGGAAAAACUGAAUAACUG